rnacentral:rRNA from 1 species
CCAGACUCCUACGGGAGGCAGCAGUGGGGAAUAUUGCACAAUGGGGGAAACCCUGAUGCAGCGACGCCGCGUGAGCGAUGAAGUAUUUCGGUAUGUAAAGCCCUAUCGGCAGGGAAGAAUUUAGACGGUACCUGACUAAGAAGCCCCGGCUAACUACGUGCCAGCAGCCGCGGUAAUACGUAGGGGGCAAGCGUUAUCCGGAUUCACUGGGUGUAAAGGGAGCGUAGACGGCCAUGCAAGCCUGGAGUGAAAGCCCGGGGCCCAACCCCGGGACUGCUCUGGGAACUGUGCGGCUGGAGUGCGGGAGGGGCAGGCGGAAUUCCUGGUGUAGCGGUGAAAUGUGUAGAUAUCAGGAGGAACACCGGCGGCGAAGGCGGCCUGCUGGACCGCGACUGACGUUGAGGCUCGAAAGCGUGGGGAGCAAACAGGAUUAGAUACCCCCGUA